AAAAAAGGCGUUAACAUGGAUCUGGAGGAACCAGCAUCUUUCAAUUAAAGUGCUACUGUGCCUCAAGAUUAAAGAGAUACGCUGUACUGUGACUGCUCCCUCUAUAACGCCCCUGGGCAGUGGAUUCAACAAGCGCCAGCCUCCUUCACCACUUACUUAUUCAUCACAGACGGGUGUGUGGAGACUGGAGCCUUUCUCAGCUGACACGCACCAGACUUAAGAGAGAAAGAGGAAGAGAAGGAGAAAGAAAGAGAGGCCAGCAGACGGAAUU